GACGAACGCUGGCGGCAGGCUUAACACUUGCAAGUCGAACGCCCCGCAAGGGGAGUGGCAGACGGGUGAGUAACGCGUGGGAACAUACCCUUUCCUGCGGAAUAGCUCCGGGAAACUGGAAUUAAUACCGCAUACGCCCUACGGGGGAAAGAUUUAUCGGGGAAGGAUUGGCCCGCGUUGGAUUAGCUAGUUGGUGGGGUAAAGGCCUACCAAGGCGACGAUCCAUAGCUGGUCUGAGAGGAUGAUCAGCCACAUUGGGACUGAGACACGGCCCAAACUCCUACGGGAGGCAGCAGUGGGGAAUAUUGGACAAUGGGCGCAAGCCUGAUCCAGCCAUGCCGCGUGAGUGAUGAAGGCCUUAGGGUUGUAAAGCUCUUUCACCGAUGAAGAUAAUGACGGUAGUCGGAGAAGAAGCCCCGGCUAACUUCGUGCCAGCCGCCGCCGUAAGAC
rnacentral:rRNA from 1 species